rnacentral:lncRNA from 1 species
AGGGAUUCGAAGGACCUCGAGGAGAGAAAGGGCCGCCAGGAGCACCAGGUGAAAAGGGUAAAAUGGGCAUUCCAGGAUUCCCAGGAUAUCCGGGAACGACUGGACCGAAGGGCGAAAAAGGAUUUCAUGGAAAGCCUGGAGAGAAAGGUGACAAAGGCGACCGGGGACCAACCGGCCCACAUGGAGAGCGAGGCCAAAUUGGACCACGGG